AACGAACGCUGGCGGCGUGCCUAACACAUGCAAGUCGCGCGGGAAAGUGGGGGCAACUCCACAAGUACAGCGGCGCACGGGUGAGUAACACGUAGGUAACCUGCUCGUGAGACUGGGAUAACCUGCCGAAAGGCGGGCUAAUACCGGAUAAGACCACGGGGGCUGCGGCUCUUGGGGCAAAAGGUGGCCUCUGCUUGCAAGCUACCACUCGCGAAGGGGCCUGCGCGCCAUUAGCUAGUUGGCGGGGUAACGGCCCACCAAGGCGAAGAUGGUUAGCUGGUCUGAGAGGAUGGCCAGCCACACUGGGACUGAGACACGGCCCAGACUCCUACGGGAGGCAGCAGUGGGGAAUAUUGCGCAAUGGGCGAAAGCCUGACGCAGCGACGCCGCGUGGGUGAUGAA
rnacentral:rRNA from 1 species